rnacentral:misc_RNA from 1 species
GAUGAAGAACGUAGCGAAAUGCGAUAAGUAAUGUGAAUUGCAGAAUUCAGUGAAUCAUCGAAUCUUUGAACGCACAUUGCGCCCGCCAGUAUUCUGGCGAGCAUGCCUGUUCGAGCGUCAUUUCAACCAUCAAGCCCCAGGCUUGUGUUGGAGCCCUGCGGCUGCCGCAGCCUCCCAAAACCAGUGGCGGGCUCGCUAUCACACCGAGUGCAGUAGUUUACUCUUCGCUCAGGGCGUGUGGCGGGUGCUAGCCGUGGAACCCCCAACUUCUCAAGGUUGACCUCGGAUCAGGUAGGAAUACCCGCUGAACUUAAGCAUAUCAAUAAGCGGAGGA